rnacentral:misc_RNA from 1 species
GGCGUGAUCGAGCGGUUGGGAUCCUACCUCCAGCGGGGCGUAUGGCACACUUGAGGACCGCCUCGUAGAGGUGGGAAUCGACGUGUGGCGGACCGUCCUGUGGGAAACUCAGUGGGGGCAAAUGGAUAGUGGGAGCGGACUCGGACGCGGCUUCGGUCGUAUUGGACUCUGCACCCGCUGUGCCAGAUCAGAUGUUGGUCUGGUGCCGUCCAGUGUAACAUUCGGCCUUGUUCGCGAGGUGUCGAGGGAGCUUGCUCUCUCGUGACGAUAGA